rnacentral:tRNA from 1 species
AGAAACUUAGGCUAAAUUCUAAACCUAAAGCCUUCAAAGCUUUCAACAGAAGUUAAAAUCUUCUAGUUUCUG